CAAAUCUUGACAUCCUUUGACAACUCUAGAGAUAGAGCCUUCCCCUUCGGGGGACAAAGUGACAGGUGGUGCAUGGUUGUCGUCAGCUCGUGUCGUGAGAUGUUGGGUUAAGUCCCGCAACGAGCGCAACCCUUAAGCUUAGUUGCCAGCAUUAAGUUGGGCACUCUAAGUUGACUGCCGGUGACAAACCGGAGGAAGGUGGGGAUGACGUCAAAUCAUCAUGCCCCUUAUGAUUUGGGCUACACACGUGCUACAAUGGACAAUACAAAGGGCAGCUAAACCGCGAGGUCAUGCAAAUCCCAUAAAGUUGUUCUCAGUUCGGAUUGUAGUCUGCAACUCGACUACAUGAAGCUGGAAUCGCUAGUAAUCGUAGAUCAGCAUGCUACGGUGAAUACGUUCCC
rnacentral:rRNA from 2 species